rnacentral:rRNA from 1 species
GACGAACGCUGGCGGCGUGCCUAAUACAUGCAAGUAGAACGCAGUUUCGAACGGGUGAGUAACGCGUAGGUAACUGCCCCAUAGCGGGGGAUAACUAUUGGAAAAGAUAGCUAAUACCGCAUACUGUGAGAUGGACCUGCGUUGUAUUAGGUAGUUGGAGAGGGGAAGGGUCACCAAGGUGACGAUACAUAGCCGACCUGAGAGGGUGAACGGACACACCGGGACCGAGGCAACGCCCAGACUCCUACGGGAGGCAGCCGUAGGGAAUCUUCGGCAAUGGGCGGAAGUCCUACCGAGCAACGCCGCGUGAGUGGAGAAGGUUUUCGGAGCGUAAAACUCCGUUGUGAGAGGAGCGGUAACUAACCAGGAAGCGACGGCUAACUACGUGCCAGCCGCCGCGGUAAUAC